AUAUGUGUACUGCGCAUGCCAUAAGUGUAUAAUCUAUGGCGCAUGCGUCAACUAUAAUGCCUAAACUUUCUACGCGGUUUUAAUCGUGAAAAAAAAACAAUUAUAAAUCCUGAAGGAUCAAUUAAUUGGUAUACAGUUUAAUUAAAAAAAAUAAAAAAUAAAUAAAUAAGAUAAUGUGCAUUCGCGUAAAGUUAGCCCAAAUACAUUUUUUCCAUCCUCCUAUAUACCUAUCGCUAUGAAGGUAUAAAAAAGAUAGGUUAAGAGUUCACAUAGGUAAUAUAAACAAAUAAGUAAAUAUGUUCAUUAUUUAUCUUUCAAGAGAUAAUGUAGGUAUACAUUAUAAUAACAUUUUGACACAGUCGAAAUUAUAUUCCUAACAUUAGUAAAAUAACAUUUUAAUAUUUUUUUUAUAGGUUAUGUAUUGAAAUUGUUGGAAAAUUAUUUCAUGUUUUAGCUGGAAAACUACAUGGAGAAUUAUAUGCAAUACAAGAUAAUGAGCUCCAUCAAAUGAAUUCGAAUGAAACCAAACUGUUUACCAUCCAAAUUCGAUUGUCGGGCAGAUAGAAAACGAAAAUUCACUCAUAGUGAACCUCGGCCUGCAUUUGUGAAACGGCAAAGACUCACUAUUAUCAAGGAAAUUGAAGAGACGACUAAAAAUGAGAUGUGUCGUAUUAUUAUACCUUUGCCAUCUUGUAGUCAAGAUGUCCAGCCACUUGAAAAUAGGUGUAGUAAUGACAAAGCUAUCCAAGUAGCUCCAGCACAGGAACACAAAGGCAAGGCAAGUGUGUAUUGCCACAUCACCCCUUAAUAUAUCUGAAGCAAGUAUAAGUAAACAAUCAGAACCAGCAAAAAAAAAACUGUUGUUCCUGAGGACAAAUUUGACAGUGAUGAGUCAAAUGCACCAGCAACAGAAGGAUCAACUGUUGACUAUGGGUUAUAGAAGAAGAAGAUUAAUUCAUAUUUAUUUAAAUUAAUAUUAAUGAAUAUUAAUUUAAAUUAUCGUGCAAAAUUCGUGGUGAAAACAUAUGUGUAUUUUAUAAAUAAAUAUUCAUUCUCAGUA